AAGGGGCUUCAUUCCCUCCUUGGGAUUUGCUCAGGUAACAUCUCUCCUUUCAUUUCAGCAAAGAGGCUCUUUCGGCUUAUAUUAGGUUGUUUUCAGCAGGUGCUUUUGGGCACACAAAGCAACACAAGCUUUGAAGAUUCUAUGCAGAAAACAGCAUGGAGUAGAGGGAAUAUUUAAGUUCAGGAUUUUGGGUUGUGAGUUCAGAGGCAGUGCUACUCAGAAUAACAGCCACACCCUCGGACACAGGAUGAAGACGACACCUCGAGGACCCGGGCACCUUCAGGAGAGGGCGAGCAGCCGACUUGCUGGGCUUUGGCUCGCAUAACACAAAACUCAUACGUUGUUUUCGGUUUACUUUAUCCUAGCCAACUCCAAGGUUAACAGGCGAGCAUGGCAGACGUGCUCCGAGGUGUACUCAUUUCAGGCCCAGGUAGACUGACGUCACCGGUCAUCUGCAGCCUACAGCAUUCAUAAGAGACCCAGGCAUCACCAGGAGAACGGAGAGCAGCACAACCAUCGGGUUUCGGCCGACGGGCCGCCGAGACGAUGCAGCGACGUCCGGUUUUCUUUCUCCCAACAGACUAGGAGACAGCAGCCCAGUGAUAGCAGGAACCUCUCAGACAGCCCGGCGGCCUUCCUUCGCACCUGACGUGGAUUCUCAUUCCCGGACAUCCAGAAGAUAAGUCGAGGGCCGUGACUCACAGAGAGGCUGGAAGGGGGCCGCCGCGUCAGGUCCCACCGGGAGGGAUUUUUGAGUCAGCAUUGGAGCUGAGGAUAUCCAGGAUAUGUCAUCUGAAGACCACAUGAAAGCAAAGCAUCACUUUUGAACCCAGCGCCGAGACGCACAGGGCAGAGCAGUUCCGGCACGUGUCGUGUCGCAUGGGUAUUGUGCUUUGUGUGUCGUUUGGCUGUCUCUUGUCUUUUCCCUUAGCACUUUGAGAUGCCUAUCAGAAACCCCGGCAUCCUUUUCAGCAUCUCCGAUCUCUGCAUUUCUUGGUCUGGCACCAGUAGGACUUUUGACUCAGGAGCUCAGACUGGCAUCAGAACCGCACCUCUCUUUAGAAGCAUCCAGUCAGAUGUCUUUGACGACGGACAGCUGCGCCCCGCAAGGAUCCAUUAUUGCGGAUUAGGACUCGUAAGAACGUGAGGAUAGCUAGAGGAUUCUGACCGUAGGAUUCUCAGACAUCCAUCUUUGCAGUUCUUAGAAAUCAUUCAGUUAGCAUCUUCUUCCUCCAGGGUUCUCUGAGCCUCUUCAGCUUGCCAUCGGUCUCACCUCAGUAAUUUCAUUUUGCGUUCUCUCAGUCCUUGCCGUCAUUCCUCUUGCCAAGUGACUUCUGUCCCUGUCGCGUCCCCUUUGUUUGUCAUGUCCUGUCCUGUGUCACAGGUGUCUGCACAUAUUUGUGUCGGAGCUGCUCUGCCCCGCCGCAUAGUCCAGCGCCAUAGGACAAAUCCCGGGGCCUUGAAAUUUGUAGUGCGGGGUGUAGUUGGAUUCUAGAUGGUAUUCCUAGAUGUGCAAACAAGAUGUUUGGAGGUGUGAAGUUAUCCUGCAGCCCUUUCACUUUUGUCCUGAAUUUCUUUCAGAUGCAGACCGAUAAAAUCCAUAGCAGAGCACCACAUCCCAGGAAAUAAAGCCUUCUAGCAGCAGUCAAGGCAAGGUGGUCAAGGCAAUCCAUUUGGAGUACACAUAACUCCCCAUCAGACACUGGCUGACGGACUGUGAUUGUUGUUUUUUGGAGCCCCGUGGAAGUAUUACAGGACUCGGUGAUGAAGCCUCUGCCUUUUCGAUUUAAAGGAGUCACCCGGAGAGACUUUGGCAACGCCGAGGAGUCGCGGCGAGUCGGGAAUAGGGAGGAGGAGCGGGGGUCCACUCCGGUUUCAGCGACGCCGCAUCACCUUCUCUCCUCUCAAGCGAGGCGAACCCCGCGACGACAGCGUCAGCCUCCGAGCGCAGCCAA